rnacentral:rRNA from 1 species
UAAGAGGUCCCGCCUGCCCUGUGACUGGUAGUUUAACGGCCGCGGUAUUUUGACCGUGCAAAGGUAGCGCAAUCACUUGUCUUUUAAAUGGAGACCUGUAUGAAUGGCAUAACGAGGGCUCAACUGUCUCCUCUUUCAAGUCAAUGAAAUUGAUCUCCCCGUGCAGAAGCGGGGAUAGCCUCACAAGACGAGAAGACCCUAUGAAGCUUUAGACAAAAAGUAGAUUACGCCUAACACCUUCACCCAAGAAUCAAGAGCUUAUCAACUCCCUACUCAAAUGUCUUCGGUUGGGGCGACCACGGGGAAGAAUAAAACCCCCACGCAGAAUUGGGAUGAACCUGUCCUAGAGCUAAGAGUCCCCACUCUAAGCAACAGAACGUCUCUGACUUUCCAGAUCCGGCUUAGCCGAUCUACGGACCGAGUUACUCUAGGGAUAACAGCGCAAUCCCCUCCUAGAGUCCUUAUCGACAAGGGGGUUUACGACCUCGAUGUUGGAUCAGGACAUCCUAAUGGUGCAGCCGCUAUUAAGGGUUCGU